rnacentral:rRNA from 1 species
UACGAAGGGGGCUAGCGUUGCUCGGAAUUACUGGGCGUAAAGCGCACGUAGGCGGUCUUUUAAGUCGGGGGUGAAAUCCUGGAGCUCAACUCCAGAACUGCCUUCGAUACUGGAAGACUCGAGUCCGGGAGAGGUGAGUGGAACUGCGAGUGUAGAGGUGAAAUUCGUAGAUAUUCGCAAGAACACCAGUGGCGAAGGCGGCUCACUGGCCCGGUACUGACGCUGAGGUACGAAAGCGUGGGGAGCAAACAGG